rnacentral:rRNA from 1 species
UACGUAGGUGGCAAGCGUUGUCCGGAAUUAUUGGGCGUAAAGCGCGCGCAGGUGGUUCUUUAAGUCUGAUGUGAAAGCCCACGGCUCAACCGUGGAGGGUCAUUGGAAACUGGGGAACUUGAGUGCAGAAGAGGAAAGUGGAAUUCCAAGUGUAGCGGUGAAAUGCGUAGAGAUUUGGAGGAACACCAGUGGCGAAGGCGACUUUCUGGUCUGUAACUGACACUGAGGCGCGAAGGCCAGGGGAGCAAACGGG